AUUGAACGCUGGCGGCAGGCCUAACACAUGCAAGUCGAACGGUAGCACAGAGAGCUUGCUCUCGGGUGACGAGUGGCGGACGGGUGAGUAAUGUCUGGGAAACUGCCCGAUGGAGGGGGAUAACUACUGGAAACGGUAGCUAAUACCGCAUAACGUCGCAAGACCAAAGUGGGGGACCUUCGGGCCUCACACCAUCGGAUGUGCCCAGAUGGGAUUAGCUAGUGGGUGGGGUAAUGGCUCACCUAGGCGACGAUCCCUAGCUGGUCUGAGAGGAUGACCAGCAACACUGGAACUGAGACACGGUCCAGACUCCUACGGGAGGCAGCAGUGGGGAAUAUUGCACAAUGGGCGCAAGCCUGAUGCAGCCAUGCCGCGUGUAUGAAGAAGGCCUUCGGGUUGUAAAGUACUUUCAGCGGGGAGGAAGGCGGUGAAGUUAAUAGCUUCACCGAUUGACGUUACCCGCAGAAGAAGCACCGGCUAACUCCGUGCCAGCAGCCGCGGUAA
rnacentral:rRNA from 1 species